CCAGGAGAUCCAAACUUUGUUCCUGGUCUCUCUCCACAGUUGGAAUUGGGAACUACACAUGGGCACAGCUUACAGGUGGAAUGAUGACUCACACCUGAAGAUAUUUUGACCUUUGUAGUCUUAGGGCAAAAACUAAGGUCCUGUGUCUUCAACUUGUAGGAUGGUCACGGAAUAUUACAACUUGCAUGCACGUUGAAUGAAGCCCUCAAAUGCUACAAAGAGUGCCAAAAUAGAGCCCAGCUAAAACUGUGGUAAAACUGUGGCUGUUGUAUGCAAACUCAAAUAAAAGUAAGGAUUAUCAGCCUUCCACAUUAACAGAACCCACUGUUGAGGUUCUGAAUCGCUCACCAAGAGGCAAUCAAGUUGGAAUUGUGACUCUCAUGCAUCAAUCCAAUCGACAGAUGAGAUGAUAACACCAAGUCCAGGAUUUAGAACACCUGGGGGCUGUGCUUCCCCUAUCAAAACACAGUCUGUUGGUGAGAUUUGGGCUCUCGUGCAUUGAUUUAGUCCACUGUUGUGACUGACUUGCAUAGUUGAACUCAAACCCACAAGAGGUGUUGACUCUUAUACCUUUAGCAGGAAAAUGUCCCGGAUUGUGAAUUUCUGCUAUUGACCGGGUCCAGCUGGAUCCAGGUAUGAGAGUCAUCAUCUCACCUGUGAGCUGUGACCAUGUAUAUGUCGCAAUUUCACCUGUCAUCAGGAAGCAGACAUGAGAGUCCUAUCACCUGGGUGCUGGACAAAAUUAUUUAAAUGUGUGUGAAGAACAAUGGGAAUGUGG
rnacentral:lncRNA from 10 species